GAGAGUAGGCGCAGGCGGUUGCAGAUCAGUCAUAGUUACUGGUUUGAGGAAAGUCCGGGCUCCCGAAAGACCAAACUUGCUGGAUAACGUCCAGUGCGAGUGAUCGUGAGGAUAGUGCCACAGAAAGAUACCGCCAAAACAGUUAGGAGUUAGGAAUUAGGAGUUAGGAAUUAUUAACUUUUAACUCAUCACUCAUAACUCCUAACUAAAUUUGGUAAGGGUGCAAAGGUGCGGUAAGAGCGCACCAGCAGUAUCGAGAGGUGCUGGCUCGGUAAACCCCGGUUGGGAGCAAGGCGAUAGGAACUACGGUUGGUCUUUUACCAGUUCCGCUCAACGAGAGCCGCUAGAGGCGUUUGGUAACAAGCGUCCCAGAUAGAUAACUGCCCUCGCAAGAGAACAGAACCCGGCUUAUGUACUGCUCUCUCCC
rnacentral:RNase_P_RNA from 1 species